rnacentral:rRNA from 1 species
AUUGAACGCUGGCGGCAUGCCUUACACAUGCAAGUCGAACGGCAGCACGGGAGCAAUCCUGGUGGCGAGUGGCGAACGGGUGAGUAAUAUAUCGGAACGUGCCCAGUCGUGGGGGAUAACGCAGCGAAAGCUGUGCUAAUACCGCAUACGAUCUAAGGAUGAAAGCGGGGGAUCGCAAGACCUCGCGCGAUUGGAGCGGCCGAUAUCAGAUUAGCUAGUUGGUGGGGUAAAGGCCCACCAAGGCGACGAUCUGCAGCUGGUCUGAGAGGACGCACAGCCAAACUGGAACUGAGACACGGUCCAGACUCCUCCGGGAGGCAGCAGUGGGGAAUUUUGGACAAUGGGCGCAAGCCUGAUCCAGCAAUGCCGCGUGCAGGAUGAAGGCCUUCGGGUUGUAAACUGCUUUUGUACGGAACGAAACGGCCCUUUCUAAUACAGGGGGCUAAUGACGGUACCGUAAGAAUAAGCACCGGCUAACUACGUGCCAGCCGCCGCCGUAAAAC